UUGGAAUCAUGAACUAUGAAAUAUCAAUCCCAUGAUUCCUGGAACAUGGUCACAUGAGAUCCAAGACAUAUCUGUAUCAUCUUCGGAUUUUGUAAAUGAUCUGAUCAUGCUUGAAGGUGAGUGGUUUCCUUGCUAUGCUUGUCAAGCCAGCAGUCUUCGCGGUCUGACCUUUCUCUCGUUGUCUGUUCGACCUUGAAGUUCUUGUGGUUUUCAUGGGACAUAAACCCUAGUAACUCCGUUUACAGAGCAUGAUCUUAGCUAUCCUAGGUUCGUCCUGGUUCCGUAUUCAAGGGUUUGAUAUUGUCAUAGUUGACUUUGCCUUAUAAGCCAUGCAAACUAAAGCUUAGUUUGAACUUGGCAUAGGGUUAUCGAUUCUGGCUCGAGCUUUUCACCUUUCUCUACCAUCGGCAUAUAGGAAUAAUCAGUUAAUUAGGCCUCUUAAUACCUUACUGAGGCUGAGUUCAUUUGGAAACCCAGGUGGUUUAGAUCGAAACUAGGCAUACAUAGGCUGGCUUUUAGAUGUUUACGUCUUUGAAGAUCUAUCCAAAUUUUAGAUAUUAGUACAUAAAUCAAUCAAAUUUUUGUACGUGCAUCUGUUAUUAGAUCAUACGAAUACAUGACUUUCAAACAUUAUAUUAGCCUGCCUAGUAGUUCGUCAUAUUGGAAAUAGUGUUAUAAAAUUGGAUUUAAAUUAAGAGAUUUGACAAAAGAUUUGAAAUCUUUUCAAAAUCAUCCAGGUAGUUUGGAUUACUUAGCAACUAUGAGUUUGUAAUUCACUUCAAUUCUUUACUUUCUUCCCUCAUCCGAGUUCAAACAGAACAAACCCUCAAACUAUGACCUUCAUAGAUGGUAACAUCCAAAUUUUCACCAAAACAAAAUGAAUAUACAUACUGAACUUUUGGGGAGAAUGAACUCGACCCUUUGUAGGUUGGAAAUAUCAAAUCCUUAUAAGUAGUACGAGGGGAUUAUUAAGAGGAUAGAGGAAGAGGAGGAUUUUGAUAGGUUGAUAGCAUGCAAUAUUUGAGGUGCAAGCUAGAAUUUGAAGGGCAUCUACCACUUAUUUAUUUUCUCAACUAGUUCCUUCAUAAAUCAUGCCGAUUAUGGCCGACCAAUACGAAAGCCGUGUUGAGCAACUUCACACAAAGCAUUAGUAAAUGAAAUUUGCUUAAAUAGGAUAAUCCAACAACCCACUCUGUUACUCCAAAUUUCUUUGUGCCAAAGGAUAGAACUAAGGGCGCCUAGAACCAGAGAGAAUUAUUGCUACAUAAGGCCCCCACCUCCACCUGUCCACCCCCUUUCUGCCUUGGUCGAGAGUCUCUUAAUUCCAAACAAAUAAUUAAAGAACUUCCUACUUUCUGCCCCUAUCAAAGAUGGACCUAAGGGGCGAUUUCUUCAUCAGACUUUGACGUGUGAUACAUACCAAAAUCUGAGGUUUGAGACCUUGAGCAUAAACAUGGCGGACACACAUACUCUCACACAGAAACACUCACACAAGAAGUCUUUUGAAGGGUAAUGAAGAGGCUUGCUAAACCUUAGUACCAAAUCUAACCAAUUCAUGUGCAAGUGGAAUUUCGGUUCAUGAGAUGAAUGAAUCUUGGAAAGUUGAAUCUAUCAAUGAGUGUUACCAAAUUUACUGGGCGUUGAAUCCGUAGAGAAGGUCCUAACACCAUAGAAGCCUAGCACUCCCUUUUCCUAUUGUAAUUGAUGAAUUCCUCUGUAAUAUUUUUCUUUUCUUGGCUCGCCUGAUAGGAAAAACUAACCAUGUAACCCAUAUUUUUGAAUUGUCAGAAAAGUUAGAAUAAUGCAGUAGCAGACUUGAGUAAGGAAAUAAUGAACAGCUUGAAAGCUAAAUUAUGGAGUACUUGAAGUCCAUGGCCAUUGGACAUUUGUCCAUUAAGGGAGUCUUUAUGUACAUGUUUCUUUUGAGUGGCUAGGAUAAAUCAUGGGGACAAAAGAUAUUCUCUUUUUUUUUUUAGAUUUUUUUUUUGUUUUACCAAAUGGGGGCAAAAGAUAGUUCACUGAAUUUUAGUUGUACGUGGCAAUGGUUGGUCCUUUUCUUCUAGCUACUACAUGUGCUGUUCCCAGUUGAACCAAAUAUUUCUUUGGGGUGGAAUUUUAAGUCCCUCAAUUAUCGUAAGUUACAAUUAGAUGACAAGCAGUGUUUUUAGCAUUUUUAUAGUUACAAAUAAUUAUAGCAUGCCAUGAAACCUUGGAGUGAAAAUUUAAGGUCGAUCCGACAACGAAUGUGAGGUAUGGACCAGCAAGGACUGCUAACUUGCCAAGGCUUUGCAUGGAAAUCAACACCUUAUUUUCCCAGGUUUCAUGGUGAAGAAACCUGCCACAAGAAAAUCAACAGGUGGAGGUACCAUGUCAAUCUGCUAAUUGGUGACCUUUUUCUCUGUUCUUCCUCCGAUCUACAUAAUCAAGUAAGUUUGACAAAUAUAUCUCAAAUUUAGUUCAAUAAUCCAAAUUGAACAAUAUACUUACCUCAAUGUCUAAAUGUAAUAUUUACCAUGUACAUAACUUGGCGUGUUCAAGGAUGACAAGCACGAACUUAGCUCCAAUUGAGAAGUCCAGUAGGGCUGAGGUGUGUCGAGUACUCUUUUUAAGAUGAUAUGCGCUCCUAUGUUGGUAUUUUUUAGAAUUCAUGCAGGAGAUCUAAGUGUGCCGCUUCCAGCAUACAACAACCGAACAUUAAGGUUAUUACUUCAUUUUGAUCUGUACAACCAAAAGAAGCAGAACCUUUUCAAUAUCUUACUUUGCCCAAAAAAAAAUAGAAA